AACUCAUCCUAGUCAUUCAGAGUUGUAUGAGGCAGUAAAAUAAUGCUACAGGGGAAUCAUUCAGGUUCCUAUGAAAGAGAUUUAAAGUACACUCUUUAUGGUGUUCUGGUUCAUCAUGGUUGGAGUACACAUUCUGGACACCAUUACUGCUUUCCAUUUCUCUUCUAGGAAUGCUUGUGGGGAUGGUUGGGUAUAUUUUUAUAGCUUGAAUAAUAAUGCCAUAAGAACUUGAAAGCUA